rnacentral:rRNA from 1 species
AGCGAACGCUGGCGGCAGGCCUAACACAUGCAAGUCGAACGAAGUCUUCGGACUUAGUGGCGGACGGGUGAAUAACACGUGGGAACGUGCCUUUAGGUUCGGAAUAACUCAGGGAAACUUGUGCUAAUACCGAAUGUGCCCUUCGGGGGAAAGAUUUAUCGCCUUUAGAGCGGCCCGCGUCUGAUUAGCUAGUUGGUGGGGUAAAGGCUCACCAAGGCGACGAUCAGUAGCUGGUCUGAGAGGAUGACCAGCCACAUUGGGACUGAGACGCGGCCCAUACUCCUACGGGAGGCAGCAGUGGGGAAUCUUGCGCAAUGGGCGAAAGCCUGACGCAGCCAUGCCGCGUGGAUGAUGAAGGUCUUAGGAUUGUAAAAUCCUUUCACCGGUGAAGAUAAUGACUGUAGCCGGAGAAGAAGCCCCGGCUAACUUCGUGCCAGCCGCCGCCGUAAUAC